rnacentral:rRNA from 1 species
GACGAACGCUGGCGGUGUGCUUCACACAUGCAAGUCGAACGAGGUAGCAAUACCUAGUGGCGGACGGGUGAGUAACGCGUGGGAAUCUGCCUUUAGAUGGGGGGAUAAACGGGUCGAAAGACUCGCUAAUACCGAAUAUGACGAAAGUUGAAAGGAGUAAUCCGUCUAAAGAUGAGCCCGCGUCCGAUUAGCUAGUUGGUAGAGUAAAAGCCUACCAAGGCGACGAUCGGUAGCUGGUCCGAGAGGAUGAUCAGCCACAAUGGGACUGAGACACGGCCCAUACUCCUACGGGAGGCAGCAGUGGGGAAUUUACGCAAUGGCGAAAGCCUAGACGUAGCGACACCGCGUGAGCGAAGAA